UACGUAGGGGGCAAGCGUUGUCCGGAUUUAUUGGGCGUAAAGAGCUCGUAGGCGGCUUGGCAAGUCGGGUGUGAAAACUCCAGGCUCAACCUGGAGAUGCCACUCGAGACUGCUAUGCUAGAGUCCGGUAGGGGACCACGGAAUUCCUGGUGUAGCGGUGAAAUGCGCAGAUAUCAGGAGGAACACCGGUGGCGAAGGCGGGUCUCUGGGCCGAUACUGACACUGAGGAGCGAAAGCGUGGGGAGCGAACAGG
rnacentral:rRNA from 1 species